CAUAGCCAGCCGACUGUACUGUUAAAUACGAGUAGGUACAUGUUAAUUAUUGUGAAGAUUGAUAAUGAGCAAGGCUGGAGACAAAGCAGUUCCUCGAAGUAAGGUCAAGCCCAUGUUGACAACUGCCCAAAAGAACUUCAGAGAUGUGUCCCAUCCGAACUCCAUUGGGCAUGGGCUGGACCACUUCGAAGUAACAAGAGAAAACCUGAACGUGCCAAAUUCUCGCUGUUUUGUGUUGCACGGUCUACUAACUCCAUCAGAGUGUGCCCACUACAUUACUGAAACUGAGAAUAUGGGCUACUCAGACCUGUCUGAUCUCUUUCCCACUGACUAUCGUAGCAAUGAUCGCGUUCUGUCUAUUUGUAAGCCGUUGGUGGAGGAACUAUGGAGGAGGUUGGAGCCGACUCUGACUCGUAACGAGGUAUUUCGAGUGAGGCCCAUUGGAUUUGGUAACGAGGGAACGUGGAAGCCCUUUCGUCUGAAUGAGUGCUGCAAGUUUGGUAGAUACAAGGCUGGUGGUCACUUCUCUCCUCACAUUGACGGUCCCUGGGUGCCUCGCGAGAAUGAGAGCAGUAUCUUCACUGUGAUAAUCUACCUCAAUUCUGACUUUCAAGGAGGUGCCACCAAUUUCAUCUCAGAGGAGAAACAAGACCGUGUACUUUGCUCAGUGACUCCUGUAGUGGGCACAGCUUUGAUAUUCAACCAUGACACUCUGCAUGAGGCAGAACCUGUUUGUACGGGAACCAAGUACAUUGUCCGCACAGAGAUCAUGUACCGCCGAGUUGACACAGAAAUGCUGCCCAAUCCCGGUGCUUAUGAAAGUGAUGGGAAUUACUUAAGGACACUCACUCUGUACCAAAAGUCUUUGGAGCUUGAGAAAUCUGGAAACAUCCAAGGGUUUACUGACACAUACCUCGAGGCAAUUAAGUUACAACGACAGGCCCAGAGAAGCAUAUCCAUGGAAAGCAGGGGUGGUGACGAGCUAAACCUACCAUACGAGAUCUUCCUCGAUAUCUUUGGGUACCUCAGUGCAAGGGAUGUGUGUGUAGCAAUGAGAGUGUGCACGAGCUGGUAUGAUCUGUGCAUGGAUGGAGAGCUAUGGCAUGAAAUGUAUCGCUCUAAGUGGCCUAUCGGUAUUCAGUUGGAGGGAAAGAUUGACUGGGAAGAAUUAUCUCUUGAAAUCCGUGAUGAUAGGCCCUUCCUGAGAGACUGGUAUGGUCUAUACAAGCAGAGGGUGGGCAUGAUACAUCCACAGAAGGUGGCGGUUCUUGAUAUCGGCAGCUUUUCCUUCAAAUGUGCAGCUGUGCACCGACAGAGGUCUACCCUGAGGACAGCCAGUUGUGAAUCUGUGAUUGCUACAGUACCUGGAAUCUAUGAUCUCCACUUGCGUCGUUAUGACUACCAGCGUUAUUUCUCUGGUCGGGAAGCAAAAGAUAAAUUUCCUGGAGAGACAGUACGUAUUGUGGAGAAGGGACUUGUCACCAAAUGUCAAUUGUUGCCAGAGAUCGUUACAAGGUUGUUUUUUGACUGUGUUGUGAGGCCCAAGUACACUCCAGUGAUUUUCUUGGAACGUCCUGGAUUAUGGAGUGAUCAGAUGAAAAGAGAAAUCAGCUACUGUUUUAUAAAGCAGUUUCAGAAUCCUGGUAUCGCCUUCUUGAGUUCUGCAGUGGCAAUUCUCUGUAGCCUAAAUGUGUCUACUGGUGUUGUCGUGGACAUGGGUGAAGGUGUGGCCACUUGUGUGGCUGUGGUAAAUGGGAAAGAGCAGCACUUUCUCAAGUGUGACCCCAGUGAAGCCACAUCCACCAAACUAGCCGAGAUGGUGCAUAGGGUAGUAACAGACACAAGGAUAGAAAAAGCAGCUCUUGCUCAGAAUAUUGUGCUGACAGGUGGUAAGGCUAUACCUGUUCAUUUUCUACGAAAUGAUUUAAUUACAAUUGACGGACAGUACUCAGUGAAAAAAACAGAUAAUCCUGUAUAUUCCGCUGUUCUUGGAGGCUGCAAUCUGGCCAAUGUUGGUAACUUUUACUCUGUAUACGACAUGGUUCGUUUUCCGUGUGACCCUAGCUCAUUUCCAAACCGUCCGGUAGAGUUCUUCCACCCAACAAGAUUCGACGAUGGAGUGCACUUUUAUACUUCUUUCCUCCACUGGUUUAACUUUCUCAACGCAGGAAGGAGAAACUAUAAGAAUGAGCAUGAUAUAAUUGGCUGGCUCGUGAGACACUCACAGGAUAAUAAUCACGAGUAUCUCCGCGAAUGGAGAAAAGACACUACCGAGGAGGGGCUGCUGCUAUCAGAUUGUGGCUCUUCAGACGAGGACGAUGAUUGAAUGAACGACAACUUUCUUAAUUCAUUUUUUUUAUUUUAACGUAGUGUGUUACAGACAGAUCAGCGUCGUAUAAUAAAUUGAUGUAAUUGCUAAAACGAUGCUCAAUACAUGUAGCUAUAAUUUAUGUACUACGAUUGUGAUUUGUGAUUGUGAUGAUCUAUUUUUUUAUGGUGACAAUAA